UACGAAGGGUGCAAACGUUGCUCGGAAUUAUUGGGCGUAAAGCGCACGUAGGCGGCUUUGCAAGUCGGAUGUGAAAUCCCUCGGCUCAACCAAGGAAGUGCAUCCGAAACUGCAGAGCUUGAGUACCAAAGAGGAUCGCGGAAUUCCCGGUGUAGAGGUGAAAUUCGUAGAUAUCGGGAGGAACACCAGUGGCGAAGGCGGCGACCUGGGCCAAUAUUGACGCUGAGGUGCGAAAGCGUGGGGAGCAAACAGG
rnacentral:rRNA from 1 species